rnacentral:lncRNA from 1 species
AGAGGAUGUGAAAGGCACUGGAUAAUGCCGCAGAAGGGGAUGGAUGGGAAGCCUGUUGGUGCAGAUGUUAACGGCAUAUUCAGGAACCUGAUAAGCACCACCAGCAAAUUGGAUUGGAAUGGCAAGGGACAGAAGAUCUUGCCGUGGAUUUCUGCCGUCAGAAUGAGUGUCAGACCCGGCAUCUCUCAUUGGCCCUAGGUUCUUGCUGCUUUCUUUCAGCUGUUUCUCUUGACAGCAAAGAAUGCUGACAGCUUGGCUGAAUUCCCUAAACUCUGAUUUCCUAUCAGACCAAAAGAUGACAAAUGAGGUUUUCACUCCUGUUGAUGAGCAUAUCACGAAGAUGACAUAAUGGUGUAAUUUUUCGCCCCAAGACAAGGAAAAAAAUGUGUUGGAAAUCACUGUGUUCAUGUUUUUGUUCCCUUUCCACCUUCAUCUGACCAUAGUUGUCACUCAGAAACUCUAAAGAGAAGCAGAAAUGGAUGCUAUUGUUGAGUGGCUGCCUCGGUGUGUGUCUAUGACAAGGUCAUGCUCGUCACAGUAGCGGGGACAUGCUUUACUUAUUGAGAGAGGUUAUACCAGCAACACCGUACAGGCUCUUAACUGAUAUCUCUGGAAUUGGAUGUGACACCCCACAUGACAUUUCUUGGGGAGAAAGCCUGACAGACACCCAUCUACAGAAAUAACUACCUCCAUUUAUGCACUACCUAAAACAACCCCGGAGCAGUGUGUAUAAAGUUGUCUUCAGUCUUUGCA